AUUGAACGCUGGCGGCAGGCCUAACACAUGCAAGUCGAGCGAGCGGCGGACGGGUGAGUAAUGUAUGGGGACUGCCCGAUAGAGGGGGAUAACUACUGGAAACGGUAGCUAAUACAGCAUACUAUCGGAUAACCCAUAUGGGAUUAGCUAGUAGGUGAGGUAAUGGCUCACCUAGGCGACGAACCCUAGCUGGGCUUAGAGGAGGCUCAGCCACACUGGGAAUUGGACACGGCCCCGCCUCCUCCGGAGGCAGCAGUGGGGAAUAUUGCACAGUGGGCGCAAGCCUGAUGCAGCCAGGCCGCGUGUAUGAAGAAGGCCCUAGGGUUGUAAAGUACUUUCAGUCGGGAGGCGUUACCGACAGAAUAAGCACCGGCUAACUCCGUGCCAGCCGCCGCGGUAAUUC
rnacentral:rRNA from 1 species